UUAUCAAAUUAAAUAGCUCUGGUCUCCAGUAUAUUGGCGAAUUCGGUUCUUUGUACUUAAUUUAUUAGCAUGAUUUCUUUUUAAUAUGUUGUGUACAGACUUAAUUACUUCUCUGUCUGCUUUUCUUACUCCAUGUAGGUUUCCCAGAGACUAUGGGUUGAGGAGGAAUUGGAAGUUUGUCGGCUUAUACCUAGUGUCAUUCCAUCAGUGUUAAACUUCCCGGCUCAUCUUGGAAGAGUACGUGCCAGAAAGACCACGACCAAUCAGCCUUGAGAUCUUAGGCAGCGUCUCCCUGAGGUCCCUCUCUAUCUCCCCACACAUCCACCAACCACUGGAACACAUCUCCAAAGUUCUGCCGGGCCAGCUCAGCUUCCCCUCAGAAGAAGUGCUGCCACCUGCCAGAUGAAGGAGCCUUUUGAGAGGCAGCUGGUAUCGUGAUUGGACUGUACUUUGGUCUGUUCCAAUCCAGCUUCAGCUCCAGAGACGGCAGGCGGGACAAGUCAACGGAGGCCGGGUGGACGAAGGCAUGCAGCUGAGUACAAUCCAGAAAACAACAGAGGAGGAGUGCAGGGCCAGAACAAGCAGAGUAGCAUCAUAUGUCUCUUAGAAAACAUCAUAGUAUAGCCUUUGGUAUGAAAAAACACCAUCAUAUACAUCGUAUAUUGUACAAAUAACAAGUCAAAGAGACAUACAUUGUAGAAUUGUAGUAAUUGUGGGCUGACUGAUUUACUGAUUAUCAGUAUUUUAUUUUUUACUGAUUUACGGUAAUAAAUACAUUUAAAAAUGG